rfam:Camelus ferus unplaced genomic scaffold scaffold390, whole genome shotgun sequence.
GAGGGUAUAGCUCAGUGGUAGAGCACAUGCUUAGCAUGCACAAGGUCCUGGGUUCAGUCCCCAGUACCUCCA